rnacentral:rRNA from 1 species
ACAAUACGGGACUCUUUCGAGGCCCCGUAAUUGGAAUGAGUACACUUUAAACCCUUUAACGAGGAUCUAUUGGAGGGCAAGUCUGGUGCCAGCAGCCGCGGUAAUUCCAGCUCCAAUAGCGUAUAUUAAAGUUGUUGCAGUUAAAAAGCUCGUAGUUGGAUCUCGGGUCCAGGCUGGCGGUCCGGCGCAUGCCGGUUACUGCUUGUCCUGACCUACCUCCCGGUCGCGCCCUUGGUGCUCUUGAUUGAGUGUCUCGGGUCGCCGGAACGUUUACUUUGAAAAAAUUAGAGUGUUCAAAGCAGGCAAUUCGCCUGAAUAAUGGUGCAUGGAAUAAUGGAAUAGGACCUCGGUUCUAUUUUGCUGGUUUUCGGAGCUCGAGGUAAUGAUUAAGAGGGACUGACGGGGGCAUUCGUAUUACGGUGUUAGAGGUGAAAUUCUUGGAUCGCCGUAAGACGAACCGCUGCGAAAGCGUUUGCCAAGAAUGUUUUCAUUAGUCAAGAACGAAAGUCAGAGGUUCGAAGACGAUCAGAUACCGUCGUAGUUCUGACCAUAAACGAUGCCAACUAGCGAUCCGCCGGAGUUGCUUCAAUGACUCGGCGGGCAGCCCCCGGGAAACCAAAGUUUUUGGGUUCCGGGGGAAGUAUGGUUGCAAAGCUGAAACUUAA